rnacentral:rRNA from 1 species
CAGUAGCCACGGUAAUGCGAAGGGUGCAAGCGUUACUCGGAAUUACUGGGCGUAAAGCGUGUGUAGGUGGUUGUUUAAGUCUGUCGUGAAAGCCCUGGGCUCAACCUGGGAAUUGCGAUGGAUACUGGGCGACUAGAGUGCGGUAGAGGAUAGUGGAAUUUCCGGUGUAGCAGUGAAAUGCGUAGAGAUCGGAAGGAACAUCUGUGGCGAAGGCGACUAUCUGGGCCAACACUGACACUGAGACACGAAAGCGUGGGGAGCAAACGGGAUUAGAUACCCGCGUAGUCCCUGUCUCUUAUAC